rnacentral:pre_miRNA from 1 species
ACGCUUCUUCAAGGAAGCGCUUUGUCCACGUGGACAGAAUACGCGUCCUUGAGGGCGCGCUUUGUGUCCACAUGGACAAAGCGCUUCCUUGAGGAAGCGUUUUCC